AAGCCGAAUGAAGAAACUGCCAGAUCACUUCUCUUGGUGUUGUUUUGCAAGCUUACUACUUAAAAAAUGAUCAACUUAAGGGGCAAAAGAAAAAGGUUGUACAAGCACAAAGGGCUUGAUCAGAACUGCAUAAGGGUCAAAAAAUACAGUGAUUACGAAUGUGCCGUGACCAGUUAUGGAGUUUUACAGAUCUUUGACUCUGAUACCGGUUUGACAUCAGCUACGCCGUGGUCGUGGAUGCCGCCAGGAAGGGUUGUCCGUGAACUGCGAGGGUUCGUAAAAGGUGCUCAUGAAUAUUCUGCAUCAUCUUCAGUUUAGUGUCUUC
rnacentral:lncRNA from 1 species